UUAUGAAUCACCAGGGGAUCUUAUUACAAUGCAGAUUCUGAUACAGUAAGUUGGGUGGAACCUGAGAUUCUGCAUUUCUCACAAGCUCCCAGGUGAAGUCAAU
rnacentral:pre_miRNA from 1 species